GCCUACGGCCAUACCACCCUGAACACGCCCGUUCUCGUCUGAUCUCGAAGCUAAGCAGGGUCGGCCUGGUUAGUACUUGGAUGGGAGACCGCCUGGGAAUACCAGGUGUUGUAGGCU
rnacentral:rRNA from 1 species